rnacentral:rRNA from 1 species
UACGUAGGCAGCAAGCGUUGUUCGGAGUUACUGGGCGUAAAGAGUAUGUAGGCGGUUGGGUAAGUUUGGGGUGAAAUCUCCCGGCUUAACUGGGAGGGUGCGCUAAAGACUGCCUGGCUCGAGUGUGGGAGAGGAAAGCGGAAUUCCUGGUGUAGCGGUGAAAUGCGUAGAUAUCAGGAGGAACACCUGCGGUGUAGACGGCUUUCUGGACCAUAACUGACGCUGAGAUACGAAAGCGUGGGUAGCAAACAGG